AUAAAAAAAAAAAUCUCGUCUGAUCUCGGAAGCUAAGCAGGGUCGGGCCUGAUUACUUCUUGGAUGGGAGACUACCUGGGAAUACCAGGUGCUGUA
rnacentral:rRNA from 1 species